UUUUUGUACACUUCUUUAACAAUUCAUCAUGUGAGGGUUUUGGAUUUACCUAUCCCAAAAAUGUUUACAUUAACAUAAAAGGUGUGCUUUCAGCAUUAUUAUUCCUUCUGGGUGUCGGUUUCUUUCCUAAUGAGGAAGGUGGUCUAUGCGCCACUGCCUAACUAGACUUUUGUGGAAUUCAGAAAGAAAGUGAAUAUGCAAGUGCCCAGAAGAGGAGGAUGAGGCUGAAGAUGAGCAGGAUGAGGCUCGGAUGAGGAGGACGAGGCUGAAGAUAAGGAGGAUGAAGAUGAGGAUGCAGAUGUAGACAAAGAUGAAGGAGGGCAGGGGAAGUGGGUAGGGCAGCUCUCCCGGCCGCUCUCAUUCAAAGGGCCAUGGUGGGACUCACUGAGCCACUGUCCCAGGAGCUGAGCCUCAGUAGAGUUAGAUAAGCCAUCUAAGCAGUUUGCUCUGGCCUGGGCCUCUGGCCACUUUCCUCAAACACCCAAGGCCCAAAGAAGGCCCCUCAGCCAGCCAAGCAUGCUAGGAGAGUUAUCUGCACGUGAGUGGGGUCAGGGGUAGGGCUCCUGGGGACCUGCCUGUGACCCUUGACACCUGGCUGGAGCUCUUGGGGGCAGGAAGGGGUGCCAGGAAUAUGAAGUUGUGGGAUGGAUGACGGAUUUCUCACCCUUACUCCAUCACAUGAUUUUGUGCCAUUGUUGAUGUUCUCACCCUGGCUUUCCACAAAGGACUAUUCAGGGGUCAAAUGAGAAACUGUGGCUGGAUGUGCCUGCACAGGACAAAGCAUUGCAUGGAGUGAGAGAUCAUCAUUAGCGGGUUUCCUGGUGUCUUCCUGGAUGUCUGAUCUAAAUUUAGGUCCUUGUAGUCACAGUUGAAUCCCAGCCACUGCCUUUCCUUCCUUCCUGCAGGCUCUCUGUAGCACAGCCACGGGAAGUCACUGCUGGAAGGGGUCUGC
rnacentral:lncRNA from 1 species